GCAUUGGAGACCAGCUGCCUCCACAAUCAUGCCCCCCUGCUUUCCUGGUAGUUGCUGUCGUUGUACCAAAAAGUGCAUAAGGGGUGGACGUUACUUAACCAUCAUUUCAAUCCUGGGGACAUGGAGUCAUUGCUAACCAGGGCCGGUCACUGCUAUCCAAAACAAGACUUCAUAGGUGCAUAUCAGAGAGCAGGUUCGGCUUCCUGGCAGAGCCAUCGACCUCCCAUCGACUGACCAGAGUCUCGGGCUCUGCAUUCUGGCGCCGCCGAACAUGCUGACCGACGCGGCGUGGGUGGGGUGCAGCUUCCGAGCGACGCCGAGCGGGCCACCCGGCACAGCGGGAGCUGACCCCCCU